rnacentral:rRNA from 1 species
UACGUAGGGAGCAAGCGUUGUCCGGAAUCAUUGGCGUAAAGCGCGCGUAGGUGGCUUCGUAAGUCCGCUGUGAAAACUCGAGGCUUAACCUCGAGACGUCGGUGGAAACUGCCUGGCUAGAGUCCGGAAGAGGAGAGUGGAAUUCCUGGUGUAGCGGUGAAAUGCGCAGAUAUCAGGAAGAACACCCGUGGCGAAGGCGGUUCUCUGGGACGGUACUGACGCUGAGACGCGAAAGCGUGGGGAGCGAACAGG